AAUAGAUAGAGAAAAGGAGAGGGUAAAUCCUAAAAUGGGAACUUUAAUAAUUAUUUUUCGGGUGAUUUAUGCAUAUGUGAUAAACUGGAAAUGAUACCAUGGAUAUAUUUUUAAGAUUUCCUGGUUGCUUUCUAUUUAGCUAUUUUAGGAUUUAUCUAUUUCAUUCAUUUAACUGUAAUUUGAAUAUUGCAAAAAUAGAUCCAAGUCACCAGCAAGAACAUAUAGGGGGAGAUGAUAGGAUAUGCAUGUAUAUGCAAGUGUUUUCAUUUCAGGUUUAAGCCCAGGUCGUGGGAUACCUCCUCCAAAUUGGGACGUUUUUGCUGAUAUCAAUGCUGUUGGAAGGGUGACCGGAGCUCAUGUAGUUCCUAGAAUAGUAGAGCAGUUGACUUUUAGAGGCUUUAAGUGAAGAAGUUGAAUGUAAGUGAUUAAGUCCUUUCACUUGGUUUGUUCUAACAGAUAUUUAUUUUUUAAUUUUUUGAUUACACAAGAAUUAAUUGCUUUCCACACAGAAGACCGAAAUUGUGCGAACUAAAUUCUUUUAUGUUUUACAGUAUUUUACUCAGUUUUACAUGAAGAUUUGCUUGCCCUUUCUGUAUUUCUGGGCAUGUUAUAAAACCAAUAUCAUAAUUUCACUUGAUAUUUUAAGUUCAGGAAUAUUACAUUAUGAGAUUAAAAUCCACAUAGAACAAAAUAGGCUCCACGUCCUUCCCUAUUUCCACAAAUGCAUUAAAAACUUGGCCAAUUAUCGAAUUCAAACAAACCAAAGCCUACGCCUCAACAUCUUUAAAUAUUAUUACGUAUUUAAGUUACAAAUCAAAUGAAUGGAAAUAUUCAAUUUAUGGGGUAACAAAAAGAAGAGAGAAGGAUUGGUGGCCAAGACAAUGAACCAGUAAAGAUUGAAUAUUAUUUCCUUCUGUUCUCCACUUUAAAUAUACAAGGUAAGAGCUCUACAUAUCUAUAAAAAUCUGAUUCAGAAAAUCAGAGAUGAAUACAGACUAAACAUAACAACUAUAGGACUAAUAACAUAGCUACUUUCUUUCAUUCCAAUGCAUUCCCUUUUUGGCAAAAUAGCCACUCUAUUUCUUCACUUGUAGAGCUGCUUCUUGCUUUGUAAAAAGGUCAACAAAUAAUUACAAAACUUGCAGGUAAUUUUUCUUGUUCCAGCGAUCUGUGUUUUUUGCCAUAUUUAAUUCAAUUAUCUAUCUCAUUACUCCCCCUCAAGAUGGAGAUGCAAUUGAAUAAAUCCCCAUCUUGCCUAAGAGCUAUUGGAAUUUCUUUGAACCAAUUGCCUUCGUCAUUACAUCUGCAACUUGUAAGUUUGUUGAUAUGUGAAACGUCUUUAUCAAACCGACCUGUAUUUUCUCCCUCACAAUGUGACAAACAAUUUCUAUGUGUUUUAUUCUCUCAUGGUAAACUAGAUUUGAAGCAAUAUGAACAGCUGCUUGAUUAUCACAGAAUAAUUGUAUCGGUUUUUCAACAGAUAUGCCAAAAUCAUUCAACAAACUUUUAAACCACACCAACUCGCAAGUUGUUGUGGCCAUUGAUCGAUAUUUUGCCUCAGCAGAAGACCUAGACACAGUCCUCUGUUUCUUCGACCUCCACGAUAUUAAACCAUCUCCAAAGAAAAUGCAAAACCCGGUAAUGGACCUUCUAGUUUCCGGACAAGUGCCCCAAUCUGCAUCACAAGAGGCAGUCAGCUGCAGCUUACCUUUUGCUGAAUAAAUCAACCCUUGUGAUGGGGAUGUCUUCAAAUAUCUUACUACCCUUAAUACUGCCUUCCAAUGCACAUCUUUCGGUUGACUAAGAUAUUGACUUAGGGCAUGUACCGAGUAUGAUAUAUCAGGCCUAGUUAUUGUUAGAUACAGCAGCCUUACUAUUAGUCUUCUAUACUAUUUAGGAUCAGCCAAGGCUUAUUCUUCUUCACUAGUCAUUUUCAAAUUUUGCUCCAUGGGAAAUUGGACAGAUUUAGCACCAAUAAGUCCACAGUCUUGUAGAAUUUCCAGCGCAUAUUUCCUUUGGCAAAUGAAAAUCCCUUUCUUGGAUCGAGCAACUUCUAUACCUAGGAAAUAUUUCAACUUUCCAAGGUCCUUUAGCUUAAAAUGGUCUACCAAAUAUUGCUUCAGUUUCUGUAUUUCUACUUCAUUGUCUCCUGCAAUCACCAUAUCAUCAACAUAUACAAGCAUUACGGUAAAAGAGGAAUCAGUUUUCUUGGUAAAGAGUGAAUAAUCUGCUUUAGAUUGGAUAAAACCAAUCUUGGUGAUAACAGAUGUGAGUUUUUGAUUCCAUUGACGAGAUGCUUGCUUUAAGCCAUAAAGAGAUCUCUUAAGCCUACAUACUCGUUGCUCCCCCUCUCUUCCAUAUCCCGGGGGCACACUCAUAUAUACUUCCUCAUCCAAAUCUCCAUAAAAGAAAGCACUAUUAACAUCAAGAUGAUGGAGCGACCAGUUUUUACAUGCAGCAAUGGACAGAAGGCAUCUCACUGUUGGCAUCUUGGCAACAGGGGAGAAGGUUUCAAAAUAAUCUUCUCCUUCUCGUUGAGUGUAGCCCUCUGCCACCAAUCUAGCCUUGUGUCGUUCAAUACUACCAUCUGCCUUAUAUUUAGUCUUAUAGACCCAUUUGCAACCGAUUGGUUUCUUCCCUGGAGGCAAGUUGCUCAGUUCCCAUGUUUCAUUUGCUUCAAGAGCUUGAAUUUCAGCAUUCAUGACACUCCUCCAAUGCAAGAAUUUUUGGGCUUCUUCAAAUGUGUGAGGCACUGACUCAAGGGUGAUGGAUAGAGUAUAUUUCAAGUGCAUAGGUGAGAGUUUAGAAUAAUUAAGAACUGAAGCAAGAGAAUAAUUGUUACCUCUAGGAGCUGUUAUAUCAGAAGGAAGAGUGCUUGAAGUUGCCAAAGGAAGUUGCCAACCUGCAAUGAAAGUCUUUUAAGGUAUUCGGGCCUAUUUUUUAUUCUAGUGGAUCUACGGGGUUCUUGGAUAGAAGGUGGUUCAUCGGAUGGGAGAGAAGACGAUUCGAUAGCUUCUGAAGUAGGAGGUUCCUCAUGAUUAUGGUUAUCAAUUUCAGGUGUUGUUUCUUGCAAAAAAUUGGAAUUGUCACUCGUUUGUGAAGGAUGAUCAAAACUCUCUGAAAUGGGAUUCGGUAUAACAGGAACAUCAUCUAAAGUAGUGAUUUCUGGUGUAGGCAACAGAGAAGAUAAGUUGUGGUUUUGCUGAAAAGGAAAUGUGUCUUCAUAAAAGACCACAUCUCGACUAGUUGUGGUUUCUCUUGUUUUCAAGUCAAAAACUUUGUAACCUUUCAUUCCAUUUGGAUAUCCAAUGAACACACAUUUUCGGGCUCUAAGAUCAAAUUUAUUUUUAUGGGGAUCAAGAUUUGAUGCAUAGCAUAAACAUCCUAAUGUUCUUAAAUGAAAAUAGUCAGGUGUUUUACCAAAAAGUAGCUGGUAAGGACUUUGAUUUUUCAAAUUUGAUGAGGGUGUCCUAUUUAUGAGAUAAGCAGCAAUUAGGAUGCACUCUCCCCAAAAUUUUAAAGGUAGGCUAGCUUGAAAACGCAAAGCUUUUGCUACGUUCAACAAGUGCAAGUGUUUUCUUUCGACUACCGAGUUUUGUUGUGGUGUGUACACACAACUUUGUUGGUGAAGCACUCCCUUUUUUGAAAAAAAUUCUAUCAUGUUAAACUCCUUUCCCUGGUCAGAUCUUACGGCCUUUAUUUUACAUUUGAACUGAUUUUCAACGAGGUUAAAGAAACUUUCGAUGAUGUUUCUAGUUUGACUUUUGUUUGUCAUGAGAUAAACCCAUGUUGUUCUGCUGUGAUCAUCAACUACUGUGAGAAAAUAGCGUGCUCCAUUCAAUGAUGCAACAGAAAAAGGGCCCCAAAUAUCAAGGUGUAUUAAAUCAAAAACAGCUUCCACAAAAUGGUGCCUAGAGGAAAACGAUAAUAUGGUCCAUUUUCCCAUAUGGCAAGCAUCACAAAAAAAAAUUUGCGUCAAAACUAGGAAUACUAGGGUCUAUGCUAUGCAGUAAAUUCAUUCUUUGAUCAGAGGGAUGUCCCAUUCUAAGAUGCCAAAUUUUAGCCGUCAAAAUAGAGUUCGAUAGGGCAGCAAAAUGCUUUGUUCGGGGCUGGUCCAGUUGCAAAUGUUAGAGACCUUGGACUUCCUUAGCAACUCCAAUCAUCUCCUUGGUUACAAGCUCCUGUAUGUAACAAUAACCAGCAAGGAAAACACAAUGACAAUUCAGGUCUUUGGUCAAUUUACUUGUGGAAAUAAGAUUAAAGUCGAAGAGUGGAACAUAGAGAACAUUCGUGAGAGUGAGAGUAGGUGAGAUGAUUACUGUUCCUAUGUGAGUGACAGGUGUGGAUGUCCCAUUUGGCAGUCUUACUGAAGUGUUUUUUAUGGCUCUUUUAUGUGUUAAUAAACUCAGAGAACCAACUAUAUGGUAUGUGGCUCCUGAAUCUAAGCUCCAGGAAUUUAACUUAUUGGAGAUAUUUGUGUAGCUCAAACAAUGUUUAGAGACAACUGAUAAAGUUCUUUUGAGAUUACCUGGGGUGUUAGAAAGAUGGUUACCUAAGAGUUCUGUGUUGGAAUUUGUGGUGCUGGAUUUCUGACUUUGAAGAAGUGCAAUGAGUUGCUGUAUCUGCUCCUGAGAAAUACUAAGAGUUGAAGGACUCCUUGAGUCAUUUUCAGUCUCCAUCAAAUUUAUAGCCCUAUAAUCCUUAGAACCAGAUGGUGGUUUGUGGAGCUUGUGGUUGGGAGGAUAUCUAUGGAUUUCCCAGCAUGUGUCCACGGUAUGGUUAGUCCUCCCACACUUGCUACAUGGUGCUUUAUUUUUUGAUGGAGGCGAUCUAGUCCUUCCCUUCUGGUUUUGUCUGACUGUUCCCCUUGGCCCAUAAGAUUUUCCUCCAUAAGCAAGCAUGGCCGAGGCCUCAGGCACCUUUUGAGUGUUUUCGGUUAGCUCAUGGUUGGAUUCCUCUUGCAGCACCAAGUUGAAGAUGCUGUCAAGUGAUGGUAGUGGAUCCUUAAGGAGUAUUUGAUUCCUCAAUCCGGUAUACAUCUCAUCUAGGCCCAUUAAGAUUUGCAUUAUCUGUCUUUUCUCCUGUCUUUUGUUGAUGAUGCUGAUGGCACCACAAUCAGUUGCAGAGCAAGUAAAAGGGUCUUCAUACCUAGAGAUCUCUUCCCAUAUCAGUUUCAUUUGGGAGAAAUAAACACUUACUGGUUUGUUUUCUUGUUUUGUGGCUGUCAGUUGUUGCUCCAGCAAGAAGAUGCGAUUGUUGCUUGACUUGGCGAACCGUUUCUUCAGUUCUGCCCAUACUUGUGCUACAGAGUCUGAGUACAUCACAUAUCCAGCUAUUUCAGGUGAUAGGCUGUUUGUGAUCCAUGAUAAAAUCAGGUGAUUGCAUCUUUGCCAUUGGGAGUAUUCAGAGCUUGUUUCAGCUGGCUGCUUAACCGUGCCAUCCACAAAACCAAGUUUGUUUUUGGCUGACAAAGCCACAUACAUGGCUCUGCUCCAAGCAUGAUAGUUCUGAGGGGUAAGAGGUUGUGAGACCAAUAUCAGUCCAGGACUCUCUCCAUGGUGAAGAAAGAGUGGGUUGGAAGCUGGAUCUUCCUUGGAGUUAAGUGGAUUGGUUGGAUUUAUAGUUUCAUCGCCUGAAUCAGUCAUGAUGGGAGUUAAUGUGUGUUGGUUGAGUGGGUGGAAAAUCAGGAUCAGUAAAGAUUUAAGACUCUUGCUCUGAUACCAUAACAAAAAGAAGAGAGAAGGAUUGGUGGCCAAGACAAUGAACCAGUAAAGAUUGAAUAUUAUUUCCUUCUGUUCUCCACUUUAAAUAUACAAGGUAAGAGCUCUACAUAUCUAUAAAAAUCUGAUUCAGAAAAUCAGAGAUGAAUACAGACUAAACAUAACAGCUAUAGGACUAAUAACACAACUACUUUCUUUCAUUCCAAUGCAUUCCCUUUUUGGCAAAACAGCUACUCUAUUUCUUCACUUGUAGAGCUGCUUCUUGCUUUGUAAAAAAGGUCAACAAAUAAUUACAAAACUUGCAGGUAAUUAUUCUUGUUCCAGCGAUCUGUGUUUUCUACCAUAUUUAAUUCAAUUAUCUAUCUCAUUAUGGGGAAAAAAUGAAGAGUCGUCUAGACGUAGGGUGAAUUAGUGGUAAUAGUUUUAAUAAAAAAGCAAGGACGUUGAGAACACCAAUUGAUUGCUUUAUUCCCAAAUCCCACAUUGGUUCUUUUGUCCUACAAGACUAAUGUCAUGUUUAUCUACUCAUGUAUUACACUAUCCAACAGUUUGCGGUAGCAUGCCUUGAUCUUUUCCUAUAAAAGGGUUUUCUGUCUUUAUAAAAUACCAAAAAUUGACAAAAUGAAAUUUGAGAAUGUUUUCUAUGUGUACCUUCUGAUGGAGCUUUGUGUUGGUGGAGAGCUUUUUCAUUGAAUUGAGAAGUUGGGGAGAUUUUCCGAGCACAAGGCACCGAUUAUUUUUAGGCACUUAAUGGAUGUCUUCAUGUAUUGUCAUGAUAAACGUAUUUUCCACAGAGUUUUGAAACUAGAAAUAUCCUCUUCGUCUCAGUCUUCAACCUCUUCUAUCAAAUUAGCAAAUUUUGGUCUCUUUUAUCAUUUCUUAUUUUCAAUUUUAGAAGUCUGGUAUUUUCAACAAGUUCAUCUCUAUUAGCCAGUUAAAUAACUUGGUUGUCAAUGAACUUUCAUGUUGGUCUCUAAACCUGGUUUAGGUUCAAGUUGAUCACUACAUUUAAACUCUAUAUCGAGUUAACUGGAGGAGUGGUUAGCGGUUUGGGAAAAGGAAUGCCUGCAAGCGGUAUUGGUCUCAGGCUUAUGGACUUCGUGUUACUUCCAUCAAAAUUGAUUAAUGUUUCUCCUCUUAUUCUUGUUAUUUUCUUUCAUCGUGUAUCCCCCUUUUGGGAGAAAUAUGAACAAAAGUAUGUGAGAGUCUAAGCUCUGUAAUCAAAUCCCCACCCCCCCCCCCCCCCCCCGACCUGAAACAUUUUGUUCUCCUUCUUAAAGUUAAAUAUAAUCAAAGAGCCAAACAUGGGAAGAACAAAUUUUAAGUCUUUUCAGUUCAGUUUCUUUCAAAAAAUGAGGAACCCCCCCCCCCCCCCAAAAAAAAAAAGGUGAAUAUACUUUUCCUUCUCCAUUUUGGUUUUCACAAGAGAUUAGAUAGUGUUUGAUUAUAUCCUUUUUUUGUAUCUUUGGGAAAUUUUCUCUUCUCUAUUUUUAAUUAUAUCCCUUUUGAUUUUCUAAUUUUUCUCGUUUCUUUAAUAUCAUCACCUUGUAGGAAUUUUUUUUUUGGUUUAAACUAUAUUAUUUUUUUCAUAUGUCUUUUUUAUUUUGGUAUGAAGAUCCAUACUUGAAUAUUGAUGUUGGGACAAUGUUGCCUUUUGAGCAUGGAGAAGUGUACGUUUUGGAUGAUGGAGGAGAGCUUAGAAAAGCAUCCUUCAAUUAAGCUUAGUUUGCUUAGAUCUAAAUAUUUGGUUUCACUUGAAUUUAGUUUUAGUAUUGUUUUAAUUCUGUCAUUAAGCUUUGAUUCAUGGUACUAGAUUUAAUUGAGGUUAAUAUCUUAUAAAGAUUGCAGCUAUUUCAUAUUCUUUUUCUAUAGCAUGUAGUCUUGUCCGUAAAUUUUGGUGUGAAAUCUUGACUGAAGUGGAGGUUGAGAGUUGAAUCUUCCUCGUACACCAAGUAAAUGAUGACUUGAUUCCAAUUUUUGAAGGUGGGCCUCGACCUUGGAAAUUAUGAACAGUUUCUAGAUAUAAGAUGAACACGUGACAACAAUAUAAUUACUGUAAAAAUUUACCAGGCGAGUUCUUGGCUUGUUAUUACUAUUUUUAGAGAAAAUCUAAUUCGUGUUUGCCAUGUUGAGGUCCUUAACAAGUUGGCAGAUUUUAAUUACAUAACUUGUGCUUCUUGUCUUGUUUUAGUCUAUUAUUUGAUAAGGAGAGAAGGAAGGAUUAUGUAGGAAAUACUGUUCAGGCUUUGGCACUAAUUUUAAAGUUUGCUUUUCUGUGUAUUGUCUAUAUUGGUGCAUAAUUUCACACUUCUUCUCUCAUUUACGUUGUACCUCACAUGACUAAUGCUAUUCAAGAGUGAAUUAAAUGUGUGGCGCUUAUACCGGUGGAUGGAAAAAAGGGUCCAUUUUGAUGUUUGUGUCAUAGAAUUGGGUGGCACUAUUAGUAUGAAAGGUGUUUCACUUAUAUUAAAAUAAAUUGUAUUUAACAUUGGUUGCUUCUGAAAAAGAUCUUUCAUUUUGCAGGCAAUAUCGAGUCAAUGCCCUUUAUUGAGGCAUUGGAAU
rnacentral:lncRNA from 1 species